UUGUAUUGAUGGUGAUGGGCU
rnacentral:piRNA from 1 species